UACGUAGGUGGCAAGCGUUGUCCGGAGUUACUGGGCGUAAAGAGCGCGCAGGCGGUCGUUCAAGUCGCGUGUGAAAGCCCCCGGCUCAACUGGGGAGGGUCACGCGAUACUGAUCGACUGGAAGGCAGGAGAGGGGAGUGGAAUUCCCGGUGUAGUGGUGAAAUGCGUAGAUAUCGGGAGGAACACCAGUGGCGAAGGCGACUACCUGGCCUGUUAUUGACGCUGAGGCGCGAAAGCUAGGGGAGCAAACGGG
rnacentral:rRNA from 1 species